rnacentral:rRNA from 1 species
CCUACGGGUGGCAGCAGUGGGGAAUAUUGCGCAAUGGGCGAAAGCCUGACGCAGCGACGCCGCGUGAGGGAUGAAGGUCUUCGGAUCGUAAACCUCUGUCAGCAGGGAAGAACGGUCACUGUGCUAAUCAGCAGUGAAUUGACGGUACCUGCAAAGGAAGCACCGGCUAACUCCGGGCCAGCAGCCGCGGUAAUACGGAGGGUGCGAGCGUGAAACGGAAUUACUGGGCGUAAAGCGCUCGUAGGCGGUAUGUCAAGUCAAGGGUGAAAUCCCCGCGCUCAACGUGGGAACUGCCUUUGAAACUGGCAGACUGGAGUGUGUGAGAGGAUAGUGGAAUUCCAGGUGUAGGAGUGAAAUCCGUAGAUAUCUGGAGGAACAUCAGUGGCGAAGGCGACUAUCUGGCACAUAACUGACGCUGAGGAGCGAAAGCGUGGGUAGCAAACAGGAUUAGAUACCCCGGUAGUC